rnacentral:tRNA from 1 species
CGGGGUGUAGCGCAGUUGGUAGCGUGCCGUGUUUGGGACGCGGAGGUCCCGGGUUCGAGUCCCGGCACCCCGA